ACCCGGGUGGCGAAAUUGGUAGACGCGCCAGCUUGAGGGGCUGGUGCCGGAAACGGUGUGGCAGUUCGAAUCUGCUCCCGGGUA
rnacentral:tRNA from 1 species